CCUACGGGUGGCAGCAGUGAGGAAUAUUGGUCAAUGGACGAGAGUCUGAACCAGCCAAGUAGCGUGAAGGAUGACUGCCCUAUGGGUUGUAAACUUCUUUUAUAAAGGAAUAAAACGAGGCACGUGUGCCUUUUUGCAUGUACUUUAUGAAUAAGGAUCGGCUAACUCCGUGCCAGCAGCCGCGGUAAUACGUAGGGUCCAAGCGUUAUCCGGAUUUAUUGGGUUUAAAGGGAGCGUAGACGGGUGCACAAGUCUGGAGUGAAAUCCCGGGGCUUAACCCCGGAACUGCAAUGGAAACUGGGCGGCUUGAGUGCAGGAGGGGUAGGCGGAAUUCGUAGUGUAGCGGUGAAAUGCGUAGAUAUUAGGAGGAACACCGAUUGCGAAGGCAGCUUACUGGACUGCAACUGACGUUGAGGCUCGAAAGCGUGGGUAGCAAACAGGAUUAGAUACCCGUGUAGUC
rnacentral:rRNA from 1 species